rnacentral:rRNA from 1 species
CCCCUAGAUGUUCUGGGCCGCACGCGCGCUACACUGAACAGUUCAACAAGUCUUAACCUUGGCCGAGAGGUCCGGGUAAUCUUUGAAACUGCAUCGUGAUGGGGCUAGAUUAUUGCAAUUAUUAAUCUUCAACGAGGAAUGCCUAGUAAGCGUGAUUCAUCAAAUCGCGUUGAUUACGUCCCUGCCCUUUGUACACACCGCCCGUCGCUCCUACCGAUUGAAUGUGUUGGUGAGGAGCUCGGAUUGGCAGCAGUUGGUGGUUCGCCACCGGCUAUUGCUGAGAAGUCCUCCAAACCGCCCCAUUUAGAGGAAGGAGAAGUCGUAACA